AUCUGGCGGCAGUCAUGGAAAAUUGUUGUCGGAUUUGGACUAUAGGCUAACUCUACUAUGACGACCACGUUUGAAAUCACUUGAACAUGUGUUUUCAGCCACUGAAGAUCCACUGCAACUUAAGUCGGAUUCAUAUUCGUUGCUGUCCUGCUUUUUAAUGGGUCUUAAACGUGAUAGUUCAAGCAUGGGUAGUGAUAACUGUCCUCGUCAAGUUUUGGUCUUACGUUGAGGAUAAUUUACUUAAAUACUGUAAACCUCUAAAUGAAUGUGAUGAAACAACUUAUCCACUCUGAGGUUGUUCGUCUAGGUCCAUUUGUGUACAAUGGAGAAUUCACUUGGAAGGUCUUAUUCGGUGGGGAGGCGAGCGUUUCUUCUCUCAGUGGGGUGUCCCGUUUAGGAAUUCUAAUAUGUUGAUGGGUUCUGCAUUCAUCAUUCACUGUUAGGUUGUUUGCCUUUUGGAUGAUUGCAUCUCACAUACUCCUUUCCUCAAGUGAUGGAUGUGGACAUUUUUGCUGGUGUUGGUGUGCAGUUCUCACGUCCCAGUUGGAUGUUUUCUAAUGGUUUCUGCUAAGCUGUAGAUUGUUCCGUUACCGAACUAUUUGCGUCAAUCGGGUGUGGAUUCCGCUUGUCCGUUUAUAGUCUUGCAGCUCUUGCUACCGUUUGUUGAUUGUGAUGUUUUCGCGUUGCCCUCUUCGGACUACUUGCUUCAUGGUUGGAGCCUUGGAUGUCUAAUGGUUUUCGUAUACUGAUGAGUAUAGCUCAUGGGCUUUGUCUUUAUGUCAAUUGCUUCAUACCAAAUAAACAAUUUUAAGAAAUCA
rnacentral:lncRNA from 1 species